rnacentral:rRNA from 1 species
GAUGAACGCUAGCGGGAGGCUUAACACAUGCAAGUCGAGGGGCAGCAUAGGGUAGCAAUACUCUGAUGGCGACCGGCAAACGGGUGAGUAACGCGUAUGCAACCUACCCUGUACAGGGGGAUAACCCGGAGAAAUUCGGACUAAUAUCCCGUAAUAAUAUCCGGAGGCAUCUUUGGAUAUUUAAAGUUCCGACGGUACGGGAUGGGCAUGCGUAACAUUAACUGGUUGGUAAGGUAACGGCUUACCAAGGCUAUGAUGUUUAGGGGUCCUGAGAGGGUGGUCCCCCACACUGGUACUGAGACACGGACCAGACUCCUACGGGAGGCAGCAGUGAGGAAUAUUGGUCAAAUGGGCGCAAGCCUGAACCAGCCAUCCCGCGUGCAGGAAGACGGCCCUAUGGGUUGUAAACUGCUUUUCCAGGGAGAGAAACUUACGCACGUGUUGCGUGACUGACGGUACCCUGGGAAUAAGCAUCGGCUAACUCCGUG